AUUGAACGCUGGCGGCAGGCCUAACACAUGCAAGUCGAGCGGAUGAAGGGAGCUUGCUCCUGGAUUCAGCGGCGGACGGGUGAGUAAUGCCUAGGAAUCUGCCUGGUAGUGGGGGAUAACGUCCGGAAACGGGCGCUAAUACCGCAUACGUCCUGAGGGAGAAAGUGGGGGAUCUUCGGACCUCACGCUAUCAGAUGAGCCUAGGUCGGAUUAGCUAGUUGGUGGGGUAAAGGCCUACCAAGGCGACGAUCCGUAACUGGUCUGAGAGGAUGAUCAGUCACACUGGAACUGAGACACGGUCCAGACUCCUACGGGAGGCAGCAGUGGGGAAUAUUGGACACUGGGCGAGAGCAUGAUCCAGCCAUGCCGCGUGUGUGAAGAAGGUCUUCGGAUUGUAAAGACCGUUAAGUUGGGAGGAAGGGCAGUAAGUUAAUACCUUGCUGUUUUGACGUUACCAACAGAAUAAGCACCGGCUAACUUCGUG
rnacentral:rRNA from 1 species